rnacentral:rRNA from 1 species
UACGGGGGGAGCAAGCGUUGUUCGGAUUUACUGGGCGUAAAGGGCGCGUAGGCGGUCAGCACAAGUCAGUUGUGAAAUACUCCGGGCUUAACUCGGAAAGGUCAACUGAUACUGUGCGACUAGAGUGCAGAAGGGGCAACUGGAAUUCUCGGUGUAGCGGUGAAAUGCGUAGAUAUCGAGAGGAACACCUGCGGCGAAGGCGGGUUGCUGGGCUGACACUGACGCUGAUGCGCGAAAGCCAGGGGAGCGAACGGG